AUUUUAUUGCAGUAAAAGUGUUAUGUUAGGACAUUAUUAACAGUAUUGUGACAUACAAAACUACAAAAAUAACAUUUCUUCAUUUCUCACACUUUUUUUUAGAUUUGAAUGAUAAUAAAUGUGGGUGGUCUUAAUAUGAAAAAAGUAAAUAAUGAUUGAACAGACAUAUAGUCAAAUUCUAGUUUGUUUUGAUCUUGUUUUGAUCAGAACUUGUACAAUUACCUCCGUCCUUAAGGGGUUAAAACAUUGCCAUGGGAACAGUAUGUUUUAAAUGUCAACAUUGCUCAUUGCGACACCAUAAUGUCACUAUUUUCACCAUUGAAAAUAGCAAUGUUAAAGGACCACUAUAGUGCCCUGAGGGUGUCUCGGGCUUUGGGGGGAGCUCCUCCUCCUCUCCGCCUCCUCUCCUCCUCUUCGGCUUAAUGCGCAUGUGCAUACAAUGCUUUCCUAUGGAUGCUGGCGUCUUCUCACUGUGAAAAUCACAGUGAGAAGCACGCAAGCGCCUCUAGCGGCUGUCAAUGAGACAGCCACCAGAGGCUAGAUUAACCCUAUUAUAAACAUAGCCG